rnacentral:tRNA from 1 species
GCCCUCGUAGUUAAACGGCAUAACGGCGUCUUGGUAAGACGCAGUAUUGGGUUCAAUUCCCAACGAGGGCU